rnacentral:snoRNA from 1 species
AUCCCAUGGUGUGGACACUUUCACAGCAUAUUCUUAAACCAAUUCCAGGCUUCAUCGAAAUUCUCUGAUUCGCCUUUUACGAAAAAUAGAGAUGUUGUGCUUGAGCUU